rnacentral:rRNA from 1 species
GGCUGCAACUCGCCUGCAUGAAGUCGGAGUUGCUAGUAAUCGCAGAUCAGAAUGCUGCGGUGAAUGCGUUCCCGGGUCUUGUACACACCGCCCGUCACACCAUGGAAGUUGGGGGCGCCCGAAGUCGGCUAGGAAAUAGGCUGCCUAAGGUGAAACCAAUGACUGGGGUGAAGUCGUAACAAGGUAUC